rnacentral:tRNA from 1 species
GUAGCUCAGUGGUAGGACAACUGCUUGGCAUGCAGAAGGCCCCAGGUUCAAUCCCUGGCAACA